CUACCGGGGUAUCUAAUCCUGUUCGCUCCCCACGCUUUCGUCCCUCAGCGUCAAUGGACUGUUAGUGAUCUGCCUUCGCAAUCGGUAUUCUAUGUAAUAUCUAUGCAUUUCACCGCUACACUACAUAUUCUAACCACUUCACAGUCAUUCAAGGCACCCAGUAUCAAUGGCAAUUUUACGGUUGAGCCGCAAACUUUCACCACUGACUUAGGCACCCGCCUACGGACCCUUUAAACCCAAUGAUUCCGGAUAACGCUUGGAUCCUCCGUAUUACCGCGGCUGCUGGCAC
rnacentral:rRNA from 1 species